CUGGCUCAGAUUGAACGCUGGCGGCAGGCCUAACACAUGCAAGUCGAGCGGUAACAGAGAGAAGCUUGCUUCUCUGCUGACGAGCGGCGGACGGGUGAGUAAUACUUGGGAAUUUGCCUUUAGGCGGGGGACAACCACGGGAAACUGUGGCUAAUACCGCAUAAUGUCUACGGACCAAAGUGGGGGACCUUCGGGCCUCACACCUAAAGAUGAGCCCAAGCGGGAUUAGCUAGUUGGUGGGGUAAAGGCUCACCAAGGCGACGAUCCCUAGCUGUUCUGAGAGGAUGAUCAGCCACACUGGGACUGAGACACGGCCCAGACUCCUACGGGAGGCAGCAGUGGGGAAUAUUGCACAAUGGGGGAAACCCUGAUGCAGCCAUGCCGCGUGUGUGAAGAAGGCCUUCGGGUUGUAAAGCACUUUCAGCGACGAGGAAGGAUGUUGUGUUAAUAGCGCAGCGUAUUGACGUU
rnacentral:rRNA from 1 species